CCUUCUGGGGCAAGCGUUAUCCGGAAUUAUUGGGCGUAAAGAGUGCGUAGGUGGUUUUUUAAGCGUGAGGUGAAAGCCAUAGGUUAACUUUUGUAAGCCUUUCGAACUGGAAGACUUGAGUGCAGGAGAGGAAAGUGGAAUUCCUAGUGUAGCGGUGAAAUGCGUAGAUAUUAGGAGGAACACCAGUGGCGAAGGCGACUUUCUGGACUGUAACUGACACUGAGGCACGAAAGCGUGGGGAGCAAACAG
rnacentral:rRNA from 1 species